CCGGCACGGGUGAGUAACACGUAUCCAACCUGCCGUCUACUCUUGGACAGCCUUCUGAAAGGAAGAUUAAUACAAGAUGGCAUCAUGAGUUCACAUGUUCACAUGAUUAAAGGUGUUCCGGUAGACGAUGGGGAUGCGUUCCAUUAGAUAGUAAGCGGGGUAACGGCCCACCUAGUCUUCGAUGGAUAGGGGUUCUGAGAGGAAGGUCCCCCACAUUGGAACUGAGACACGGUCCAA
rnacentral:rRNA from 1 species